rnacentral:lncRNA from 1 species
UUCAAAUUCAUUCAAGCCUUCCUUAUAAAACCAGCAUUUCUGGCAUUGUGUUGCAGAUAAUCAUUAUUUUUAAAAAGGAUUCAUCAUGCUGCUUAUGUGAAAAAUUCACAGUAGGCAGACAGUAUUUAAUAAGUAAAUCAAUAAUGCUCAUUUCAGGGAAAAAUCAGGUAUAGAAUAUAGCUGGAGAAGAUAAUAAAACAAGAUCAAAUACUAAAUCUCAGAACUGAUGAACCAUUAGGGAUAAUACAAUUCACUUCAGUGCCGGCUGCAGCAUUAUUAGAAAGCCUACAUCAUAAAAUGCUGUGUAAAUGUAAAUUCGACCUAAUUUGUCAUAUGAUUAAAACGCAGGGAAAAAGAAGUCUCUUUGUAAAAGCGAAUGCAACAUUUCCGACUGUAGUGAAGCAUCGUUGGGAAGAGAACUCCCUUGGCUCGUGGAGCUUUGCUGCAGUUCUGCGGGGCAAAUGGACUGAUUUGCUGGUUGUUGCUUUGUGACUUGUCGAGAACUGUAUGAAAGUGGCUUAUGGACCCCCGUUGCUGUGGUAAAGCUACUUUCAGAGAAUGGCAGUGCCCCAGGACACACAGCAGCCCUCAGAGCCAGUGAGAGAGGAAAUCACCUCAACAGUUUAAUCCCACACACCCGUUCCCGCUGCAUUCCACUUUCAACCUGGUCCACGCUCACUCCAGGCCCAUCCUUCAUGGGGGCGGGCAUACAGGAACAGUGCCGGGUGUAGACGCGUAACAGCAC